rnacentral:tRNA from 1 species
AGGAGUUUAGGUUAAACAGACCAAGAGCCUUCAAAGCCCUAAGCAAAUCUCACUGAUUUAACUCCUG